rnacentral:rRNA from 1 species
UACGUAGGGGGCGAGCGUUGUCCGGAAUCAUUGGGCGUAAAGCGCGUGUAGGCGGUUCGGUAAGUCUGCUGUGAAAGUCCAGGGCUCAACCCUGGGAUGCCGGUGGAUACUGUCGGACUAGAGUACGGAAGAGGCGAGUGGAAUUCCCGGUGUAGCGGUGAAAUGCGCAGAUAUCGGGAGGAACACCAAUUGCGAAGGCAGCUCGCUGGGACGUUACUGACGCUGAGACGCGAAAGCGUGGGGAGCAAACAGG